CCCCGAGGGGCUGGGAUGGGGUGCGGGGGGCCAACCCCGGAGAGGCACGACUUUCGGCCAUAGGAAGGGUGGUCUUUGCUGCACAGUUGCCGCCAGAGGACGGAAAGUUUCCGCCUGCAGCCCUUCCAGGGUGUCCUUCCCUUGUGGGGUCCCUGACGCCCACGGCGCCCACGACGAGGAGGCACCGCUGCACGGAUUUCCGCGGCUCAGUGGGGCAGAGACAAGCAGGUCUGCAGCCUCCCCGCUACGCUCCGCCAACGACCACACCGAGCCAGGGAAGGGACCCUGGUGACCUCGCCUCCCAGUCACCACUCCCCUUACCCUUCUCUUUCACGGUGGACCUGGGACCGUGGAGGAUUCUCCGGAUGCCUUUGGGAGCUGAAAUCGGAAAGUAGAUGGAAGUGGUUCUAAAAAGCAAGCGAGUUUGGGGCGAGAGGCGCUGCCUUCCCAUUCAGCCUGCGGGACUUGUAAAGCUCCAAACUCGGCGCCCGCCGUCCCCAGAAUCUCCGAGCGGUGCGCUCCUCCGGCUCCCAGAGACCCACUGCGCAGGCUGUGCUCCGGGACCGCGAUAGCGGGAGAGCGGAUUCACCGGCUCCCGUCCACGCAGCCUCUGGAGUUUUCCGCGCUCCCUACGGUGAGAGGAGCGUGGCCGCCUCUAGUGCAAGAAACGUACGGCCAGGAAUCUGGUUCCUGGGAGAACUCAUUUUAGGUUUAAAUUUUCCAACCAGCUGGAUAUGAAGCGUUAGAUUUCCUCUGAAUUUUGGACGUUUGAUACUUUGAUUGAGAUUUCCUCCCUCUUCUCAGAGAGAUUGUGAGCUGCUUGAGGACCAGAAAAUAUCUUGGGAUUCCUGAUACUUAACACAGUGCUUAUCACCUGGAGGAGGACCAAAGAAGAUGGAUGGAAAAUAAAUCAUUGUGGAACACUUGAUCUUGAAGAACUAUGUGGAGACAGCAGAUGGGUAUAAUGGGAUCUAUACCCCAGUGAACACCAGUGCAAAGCUGGUGGUAAUGCUUGUCAUGGGCAAAGAACUCAGGAUCACAGCUUCUGAGGAUUGAACAUUUACUCAACUCUCAAGUGUAGAAUCACUAAUGGCCUUGACAUUCAUGGUGUUUGUUUUGGCUCACGGUAGAGUGAUAUCCUUGAGUCACACCAAUCUCUCUAAGGUACCUCAGCAGACCAUGGCUAGGACUCUAGGAUAUGGAGCCAUGGCACAGCAGAACUUGCUUGACUUCCAGAAGGCAUUGCCUCACCUUCAUAGAGAAAAUAUGUAAUAGCUGUCACAAGGUACUCUGCAGUUCUGCCCACUAAUUCUAACUCCAACUGGCUAGCUGAUCAUUUGUUCCCUUUCUUUUUUCAUAUAUUAACAGCUUUAUUAUGAACUUAACUUCACAUAUAAAGUUAGAAUGGCAAUUACACUUAAAGUGAACUCAUUAAAAUGUUAAAAUAUAAUAUUAUAGAUAUACAUUAUCCAAAAUUCCAGAAGGCAUUUAAACAGGUAGCAGAUAUUGCUACCCAUUUUUGGACAGAUAGAAUAACAGCGUUACUGAAACUGGCUCCCAGACAAGUAUGAACCAUCUGCUCUCAUGUCUUAGAGAAGAGAGGAAGUCAGGAUACAGGCAUUGUUGAUGCAGUAAUUUAUGGACAGUUUUCCUUAUAACAAUGCCAAAAUUGGGCCCACAGUUUUACUUUGUGAACCAGCUAAUGACUGUUGCCCUUCUUCUGUUACUUGAGAGCUACCACUCACGGUGUUGAUACGGUACCCAUUUAUUUCAAAAGGCACCAGAGAUGGGAAUAUAAACCUAUUCACAAAGGUGUAAUAACUGCCACCUCAAAUUCUUAGAUGGUAUCCACUGUUGGUCUAUAAUUGAUCUUAGAUAGUAGGACAGCAUCAUCUGGAAGUGACAAAGACUUGAUCUCCUCUAGUAGUAGGAA